GGCGAGUAGCGCAGCUUGGUAGCGCAACUGGUUUGGGACCAGUGGGUCGGAGGUUCGAAUCCUCUCUGCAUUUCGUCA
rnacentral:tRNA from 1 species